rnacentral:rRNA from 1 species
AAGCGUUUAUGACCAGACUUGGGCUUGGUUAAUCAUCUGGGGUUCUCCCCAGUGCACUUUUCCAGUCCAGGCCAGCAUCAGUUUUCCCCGGGGGAUAAAGGCGGCGGGAAUGUGGCUCUCUUCGGGGGAGCGUUAUAACCCUGGGCGUCAUGCGAUGUGAUGGGGCCGAGGUCUGCGGACUCUGUCCUAGGACGCUGGCGUAAUGGUUCCAAGCGACCCGUCUUAAACAC